CCAGUAUGCACUUUCAGUCAUGUAAAGCACUGUUCAUUGUCAUGCAUAUUCUGUUAUGGGUUUUUAAGGAGAGGAAAGACAUGAUUUAGGACAUAACACCCGGCAAGUAUACUAGGAGUCCUAACCAAGCCAGUAGUCCUGUGGUAGACACAGUAAAAAUACAAUGGAAAAGAGAGUCCCUGCUCUGAAAAGCAGUCUAAAUACUCAAGGGCAAGGAAAAAGGAAGUGCAAUCGUCAUGAUUUUGCCUUUUACAUACUUCACGACUACUAUGUGCCUCCUAAGAGAGCUCAAUUGUAAACCUGCAGCUUCACAUCUUUGAGAUCACUAAUGGAGAUGUUCAAUAAAACUGAACCUAAUAUAGACCCCUU